ACGAGUGAUCCAAAAUUAUUGGGAUCGCAGCUAUCUGUGCAAAAAAUUACGUAUGUCGUGUUUUAAUCCGAAAGACCGCCGGAGUGUGACGCAACGCCAACUGCAGCUAUCUUCAGUGUUGUUAUGAUCUCUAAUAAUCUCUUUCAACAAAGUUACUCAAGCUAAAGACCUUUUAAUUCGUAUAAAGUUUAAAUUUUGCUUCCUCUGCUACUUUUUAUGUUUAAAUAUAGUGUUUUCUAAAAUUAUCUAUCAUAAUUGGGUCUUAUAUUUCUGUGAAAUAUAGUUUUUUAGCGAUAUUCCCAAGCAUCGGCUAGAAACUUGUGACCAAGUAUUUUGUAAAAUAAAAAUGGUAAUGUGCUUUACCCCGGACUGUAAACAAUAUAGUGAAAAUGGUAGAUGUAGAUACUUUGUGUUUCCAAAGGAUCCGGCUGAAAAGAAAAGGUGGAUUUUAUUACUAAGAAAGAAUCUGUCCAUUCUUUGGUUUGCUCUUGGCAAUGUCAAUUCUGACCGAGAAAUUUUUGAGCAUAACAAAUCCAAACAGUUUCUUGAGGUACAACAUAACAUCUAAACGAAAAAGAGCAAAAAAUCAAGUUCAAAAUGGGACACAGUUAGUACUUUCCAGAAGCUUUUACCAGGACCCAGUACUUCUUGUGAAGAAUCAACCCUUAUCAAUAAAGGAAAGAAAGCAAAAAAUCAAAUUCAAAACGUGGACAGUCAGCAGUUUCCAGUAGCCUUUACCAGGACCCAGUACCUCUUGUGGGUCAACUCUUGUGGAACUCAGUACCUCUCAUGGAUCAACCCUUACAUAUAAAGGAAAAACAGCAAAGAUGUUCAGAACCCAGUACCUCUCCACCUGCAUGUGCAGUAAGAAGGAAAAAAGAAAAUAAACGCAGCGCUGCCAAUGAAGCUUCUCCAUUUCCUUCGGUUGCAAUGUAGGAAGCAGAAAAUUACUUUAAAAAAAAAGAACAUCAGGAAGCACUGGAUAGUGCAAAGAGGUUGUCUGCGUCUUUUUCACUUAGGUAUAUUGAAGGUAGCGAUGAAAAAAUUUUGCUCUAUACUGGUUUACCAUGUAGAGAUGUAUUUAUGUGUUUAUAUGAGUUAAUGGACUCAUUUCAAUUAAAUGAUUAUCAAUAUUGGGCUGUUGUAAAUGUACCUAAAAUUGAUCAAUUACUACUUAAAUUGAUGAAAUUAAAGUUAAAUCUUGUGAAUAAAGAUUUAGGCAUUAGAGAAUUCAUUUCAAGCAAAACAAAAUAUUUAAAAAUAUUAUUAAAGAAAUUCCCAGCAGGAACAAAAAUAAAUUAUGUAUGGCUACAUGUUUUAACAAUUCUACAAAUUGCAGAACAAUUUUAGACUUAACAGAAAUCUACUGUAACCAGCCGAAAAAUAUGGAAAAACAGAAAGCAACAUAUAGCUCAUAUGUACACAAAAAUACUUAAAAAUGUCUAACUGGAGUGGCUCCGAAUGGAGUAGUUACUUAUGCUAGCAAAUUAUAUCCAGGUUCAGUACCUGGUAAAAAAAAAUUAAAGCAUUGUGGUGUGUUAGAGCAGAUGGUACCAGGUGACUUAAUAAUUGCUGAUAAAUGAUUUUUAAUUUCUGAUUUGCUUCCUCCAGGUGUAUGUUUAAAUAUACCACCUUUUUUAACAACUGCUCAAUUUACACCACAACAGGUAAUUCAAACCAGAACAAUUGCUAAAGCAAGAAUACAUGUAGAAAGUACUAUAAGGUGCAUUAAAAGCUAUAAAAUUUUAAGUCUUGUACCUGCUAGUCUAGUACCACAUUCUUCAUUUGUAUUCCAAGCUGUGCAGCAUUAACAAAUUUUCAAUAUCCUCUAAUUCGGGAAGUCCAAGAUUUAUAUAAGAAAGAAGAUAACUGAUAUUUUCUAGUAAUCAAUUCUACGUUGCACAUAAUCACGGAAAGGGUAGUCUCACAAAUAUCGUUUUAAGAGUUUCAUAUAGCCAAAUUAAUAUAAAUCAAAAAUAUGUAAAUUACCUUGCUUGUAAAUUUAAAAAACUAAAAUCCUCACUAUUUUACAUGGAAAACAGUUAUGUUGUAUUGAGCCUCCCUGUGCAUGGCUCUAACAUUUGAUUUAGUGUUCCUUAGUUGAAUAAUUCACUUCAUUUGAAAAUUGCAUAAGAUAUUGUCAUACUUAGUUGGUUUUGUACUUUUUUAAACUUUCACUUUAUAAAGAACCACUGAAAGCUGUAUCAACUGCGAGAGAUCUAUGUGUUCAAUUAGAUUCUACACUAAAUUUUUAUGCACAUUGUGAUGAUGUGAAUAACCAGGCAUUUCAAAUGUUAGGCUUCAUUAUCAGAACUUCUAGAUGUUUGCACAACAUUAAUUCCAUUAGACUGAUUUACAUUUCCCUAGUUAGAUCUGUUUUUGAGUAUUGCUCAGUUUGGUCACCCACUUAUGAAGUCCAAAUUGUCAAGCUUGAAAAAGUUCAAAAUAACUUCAUUAGGUAUUGAAGUUUUGAACUGCACAAACCGUUAAGCGAUUAUUAAGUACCUUUACCUUACUGUUAAACCUUUAAGUAAUUACUCCGUAAUUGGAAACACAUUAAACCUACCUAAGUUAUCUUCCAGACAGAUUUACGCUGAUAUUUUGUUUCUACAUAAACUACUGAAUUCCAGAAUAAAUUGCAAUGAUCUGCUGUUGUAUCUAAUUGAUUUUAAUGUUCCCUCUAGAGUCAUUAGAUUAUCUCAAAAUUUUGUAAUUAAAUUUCAUAGCUGCUAUUUUGGUAGGCAUUCUCUAUUGAAUGGAAUGAUUCUAAAUGGAAAUACUUUGAUUUGUUACUGUGCACUUCUGAUGAUGUUUGUAGACAACAUAUAAAAAAACUUUUAUAACUUAGGUGAUUUCUGUUUGUUAUGUAUUUUAUCUUAUUUUAAUAUUUGUUUUAUUCUAUAGGGCUGCUUGGCUGACUUUUGUCGUAUUUACUCCAUUUUUAUAUUUAAUGUAUCACUUGAUAUAUUUGUAAUAUGUUAUGUAUAUUACUAGGAGGUUCUCUAAAUUUAUUUAUAUUUUUAUUUUAUUUAUUUAUUUACGGGGUACCACCCAAUAUAUUAUAUAAUUGAGUGGUACCCCGUAAAUAAAUAAAAUAAAAAUAUAAAUUUAGAGAAUAUCCUAGUAAAUACAUACAGAUAUUACCAGUAUAUAUGAGUGUUUCAAUAUAUGAGACUCUGUGUGCAACAAGGGCGCACUCGCCAUUGGAGUUCGCCCUUAUUGCACGAAAAUCCUCAUAUUGUAAUUAUUUUUAUAAGACAAUGUUUAACUUAGUUGAUGUUAUCUUAUUUUAAUAUUCUUGAAAUAAAUAUUGUCAAAUUAAUGAGUGAAUGAAUUAAUUCAAUGAGCUAGCUAAUUAGUUUCGAGUAACAUUUUACUGUGAAACAUAAAUGAGAUAAAAAAAUAUCAAAUUUAAAAAACUAAAAAAUAUUUUGUUUUUUUUAUUACCACAGGAAGCCCAAUACAGUUACAAUUGUUUACAAAUUUUGGGAUACUAAUAAAUAUGAAAAAAAUCAUAUAUGUAACACAUAAAAUAUAAUAGUUAAAAGAAAUAAAUUACAUAUAGAACAAAUUAGAAACAGACUGGUAAUGGUGGACAAAACAAAACAAUUAAGAGACGUAAUUGAGACGAGAUUUUGAUUUGCUAGACGUAACAUUCUAGUUAUAGGUUCAUUGAGACCAUAAUUACAUCGAUGAAAUGGUACAUGAAAAGUGUUUUCAACUGCAUUUCGAGUACUGUAUGAAGGGACUUUAAAAUCAAGCUUAGACAAUAAAUAAUUACUAUUUGCUGUACUAUUUAAUAAAGUACACAGAAUUUUCAAAUAAUGGUGAUAACGACGUUCUUCCAGGGUAUUGAUAUUUAUAUAUUAUGCUCUAAUUUCUUCAUAACUGCAAAACCUGUUACUCCCAUUAAUAACUCUAAUUUUAAAUCCCAAAAACCCAAGGAAUUUAUUUUGAACUUCUUCAAUUUUUUCUGCAUAAACAUUAUAGUUAUAUUAUAAAUGAAAAUUCUCAAUAUUUUACACAACAAAUAGUUAUGUUGUAUUGCGGCUCACCUGUCUACAACAUUUGGUGUAUUGUUCCUUAAUUUCAAUCAAGUAAUUUACUGAUUCACUUUUGUUAUGUCACAAUACCAUAGUUGGUUUUGUACUUUGUUAUACUUUUACGUUGUAAAAUUAGGUACAGUGCACAGAUUCUAAAGGUGCUGGUGGGGGAUGGUGUCUAUGCGCAGUAUUAUAGUCGGUGUUGAGAGAGAAAAGUAUUUGAAAUAAUGAAAUAAAAUAUUAUUUCGAAUACUUUCUCAUACAGCGACUAUAAUAAUGUGCAUAUACUCUAUCCCCCAACGGCUCCUUUAGAAUCUGUGCACUGCAUUAGCAAUUAAUUAUAUAUAAUUUGUAAGUGUUUGAAUAUAUUGUAAUUAAUUUUGUAACACAAUUUAUUAAUGUUACAAUAUAGUUAUUACUGAAAUAAAAAUAUUGUUGAAAAAAAGUGAAUGAACUAAUUCAAUGAUCUAGUUAACUAGCUUUAUGUAACAUUUUAAAAUUAAAACUCUUUCUAUGCAUGUAAUCUGGUAAAUAAAGACAAUAAUGUUCUCUUUUUGCUAUUUGCAAUAUGUAUAGAUAUACAAAAUAAACAGAAAAAUAUUGUU